GUCUCUCUCCUGCUCUGCCAUAUGAAGAUGUGCCUGCUUCUUCUUCACUUCUGCCUGAUUGUGAAUUCCCUGAGGCCUCCCUAGCCAUGCUUCCUGCACAGCCUGCAGAACUAUGUGUGGAGAAGCUUUACCGUACACUAAUAUUAACUAUAUGUGUAAGUAAAAGAAGACUUUCACUGUGACCCUGAAAUCUCAUCUUGCUACAUGAAUGAAAUUUGACAAGAAAUUCGAAAUUUGGCAGGAAAAACAUACCCAAGUUAAAAAAUUACACCUUUGUGGAGAGAAUCCACAGACCCUUUGAAGGAACCCGAUCACUGCUGCAGGCUCCCAGAGACACCAGAAAAACUGACUCAGCAGAGGCAGCCAUAAUCCCAUGGGAACUUAACUCCAUUGGUCAGGGAACCACACCGCUAUCCCCCACAGCAGCUUCAGCAAGCCCCACCCAAAGAGAGUCUGAGCUCAGACACUCCUAUCCCUGCCCCCCACCUGGUGGUCUUUCUCUACUGCCCUGGUAGCCUAAGACAAAGGUCAUAAUCUCUUGGGAGGUCUAUGGCCCUGCCCACCGCCUGAAAAACCUGAAUACUUAACCACGUGUCUCCAGGGCAAGUUUGCAUCCUCCUUAUAUUACCACAGCUGAUGCACUCUUGAAAGCACCAGCUCCUGGCUGGAGGCCAACCAACACAAAACCAGUGCACUAAACAAAAAUACAACCAAGGACCCUAACAGAGUCCACUUCACUCCCCUGAUACCUCCACCAGAGAAGGGCUGGUAUCCAUGGCUGAAAAACCUGAAGACAGAUCACAUCACAGGACUCUUUGCAGACACUCCCCAGUACCAGCCCAGAGCCCAGUAGCUCCAUUGGGUGGCUAGACCCAGAAGAGCAAAGACAAUCACUGCAGUUUGGCUCUCAGGAAGCUUUAUUCCUAGGGGAAGGGGGAGAACACCACAUCAAGGGAGCACCCUGCGGGACAAAAGAAUCUGAACAGCAGCUCUUGAGUCCCAGAUCUUCCCUCUGACACAGUCUACCCAAAUGAGAAGGAACCAGAAAAACAAUUCUGAUAAUAUGACAAAACAAGGUUCUUUAAUACCCCAAAAAGAUCACACCAGAUGACCAGCAAUGGAGGCAAACCAAGAUGAAAUCUCCAAAUUACCAGUAAAAGAAUUCAAAGAAUUCAGGUCGAUUGUUAAGUUAAUCAAGGAUGCACCAGAGAAAGGUGAAGUCUAACUGAAAUAAAAAACAUCAUACAGGAUAUAAAAGGAAAAAUCAUCAGCAAAAUAUAUAACAUAAAUAAAAAACAAUCACAACUUCUGGAAAUCAAGGGCACACAGAGAAAUGCAAAAUGCACUGGAAAGUCUCACCAAUAGAAAUGAAUAAGCAGAAGAAAGAACUUCAGAGCUUGAAGACAGGGCUUUUGAAUUAACCCAAUCCAUCAAAGACAAAGAAAAAAGAAUUUCAAAAAAGAGAACAAAGCCUCUGAAAAGUUUGGGACUAUGUUAAAUGUCCAAACAUAAGAAUAAUUGGUGUUCUUGAGGAAAAAGAGAAAUCUAAAAGUUUGGAAAACAUAUUUGAGGAAAUAAUCAAUGAAAACUUCCCCAGCCUUAUUAGAGAUUUAGACAUCCAAAUACAAGAAGCUCAAAGAACACCCAGGAAAUUCACUGCAAAAGAUCAUCACCUAGGCACACAAUCGUGAGGUUAUCUAAAGUCAGGCAAAGGAAAGAAUCUUACGAGCUGUGAGGCAAAAGCAUCAGGUAACCUAUAAAGGAAAACCUAUUAGAUUAACAGCAGAUUUCUUAGCAGAAACCCUACAAGCUACAAGUAUUGGGGUCCGAUUUUUAGCCUCCUUAAAUAAAACAAUUAUCAGCCAAGAAUUUUGUAUCCAGUGAAACUAAGCUUUAUAAAUGAAGGAAAGAUAGUGUUUUCCAGACAAACAAAUGCUGAAGGAAUUUGCCACUACAAAGCCAGCACUACAAGAACUGCUAAAAGGAGCUCUGAAUCUUGAAACAAAUCCUCCAAAUACACCAAAACAGAAAUCUCACAUGACCGAUAUAACAAUAACACAAUGAAAAGAAAACACAAGCUAUUCAAACAGCAAACAGCACAAUGAAUAGAAUAGUACUUCACACCUCAAUACUAACUUUGAAUGUAAAUGACCUCAAAACUCCACUUUAAAAGAUACAUAAGAGCAGAAUGGAAAACAAUUCACCAACCAAGUUUUUGCUGUCUUUAGGAGAUUCACCUGACACAUAAGGAUUCACAUAAUCUUAAGGUAAAGGGGAGGAAAAAGAUAUUCCAUGCAAAUGGACAGCAAAAGUGAGGAGUACGGGUAGCUAUUCUUAUAUCAGACAAAACAAACUUUGAAGCAACAACAGUUAAAAAACACAAAGAGGGACAUUAUAUAAUGCUAAAAGUACUAGUCCAACAGGAAAACAUCAUAAUCUUAAAUAUAUAUGCACCUAAGACUGGAGCUCCCAAGUUUAUAAAACGAUUACUAGUAGACCUAAGAAAUGAGAUACAUGACAACACCAUAAUAGUGGGUGACUUUAAUAAUCCACUGACAGCGCUGGACAGAUCACCAAGACAGAAAGUCACCAAAUAAAAAAUGGACUUAAACUAUAACCUAGAACAAAUGGACUUAAAAGAUAUUUACAGAACAUUCUACCCAGCAACUGCAGAAUAUACUUUCUAUUCAUCAGCACAUGGAACAUUCUCCAAGAUAGACCACAUAAUAGGCCACAAAACAAGUCUCAGUAAAUUUAAGAAAACCAAAAUUAUAUAAAGUACUCUCUCAGACUACAGUGGAAUAAAAUUGGAAAUCGACUCCAAAAGGAUCCCUCAAAACCAUGCAAAUACAUGGAAGUUAAAUAAGCUGCUUCUGAAUGGUCAUUGGGUUAACAACGAAAUCAAGAUGAAAAUUUUAAAAUUAUUUGAACUGAACGGUAAUAGUGACACAACCUAUCAAAACCUCUGGGCUACAGCAAAAGCGGUGCUAACAGGAAAGUUCAUAAUAUUAAAUGCCUGCCUCAAAAGGUUUGCGAGAGCACAAACAGACAAUCUAAGGUCACACCUCAAGGAACUGGAGAAGCAAGAACAAUCCAAACCCAAACCCAGCAGAAGAAAAGAAACAAUAAAGAUCAGAGCAGAAAUAAAUGAAACAGAAACAAAAAAUUACAAAAGAUAAAUGAAACAAAAAUCUGGUUCUUUGAAAAGAUAAAUAAAGCUGACAGACCAUUAACAAAACUAACCACGAAAAGAAGAAGGAAGAUGCAAAUAAGCUCAAUUAGAAACAAAACAUGAGGUAUUACUACUGAUACCACAGAAAUACAGAAGAUUAUUCAAGGCUACUAUGAACACCUUUACGUGCAUAAACUAGAAAAUCUAGAUGAGACGGAUAAAUUCUUUGAAACCCUCCUAGAUUAAACCAGAAAGAUAAAGAAACUCCAAACAGAUCAAUAACAAGCAGUGAGAUUGAAAUGUAACUUAAGAACUGCAAACAAUGAAAGUCCAGGACCAGAUGGACUCACAGCUGAAUUAUAUCAAAGAAGAAUGAAUACCAAUCCUAUCGACACUAUUCCACAGGACAGAGAAAGAGGGAAUCCUCCCUAAAUCAUUCUAUGAAGUCAGUAUCACCCUAAUACCAAAACCAGAGAAGGACAUAACAAAAAAAGAAAACUACAAGCCAGUAUCCGUGAUAAACAUAGAUGCAAAAAUCCUCAACAAGGCCGGGCGUGGUGGCUCAUGCCUGUAAUCCCAGCACUUUGAGAGGCCGAGGCGGGUGGAUCACCUGAGGCUGGGAGUUUGAGACCACCCUGACCAACAUGGAGAAACCCCGUCUCUACUAAAAAUACAAAAUUAGCCAGGUGUGGUGGCACAUGCCUGUAAUCCCAGCUACUCGGGAGGCUGAGGCAGGAGAAUCGAUUGAACCUGGGAGGCAGAGGUUGCAGUGAGCCGAUAUCGCGCCAUUGCACUCCAGCCUGGGCAACAAGAGCAAAACUCAGUCUCAAAAAAAAAAAAAAAAAAAAAUCCUCAACAAAAUAGUAGCUAACCAAUUCUAACAGCAUAUCAAAAAGAUAAGCCACCAUUAUCAAGUGGGUUUCAUACCAAGAAUGCAGGAAUGGUUUAACAUCCACAACUCAAUAAAUGUGAUAUAACACAUAAACAGAAUUAAAAACAAAAAUCACAUGAUCAUCUCAAUAGAGGCAGAAAAAGCAUUUAACAAAAUCCAUCAUCCCUUUAUUAUUAAAACUCUCAGCAAAAUCAGCAUAGAAAGAACAUACUUUAAGGUAAUAAAAGCAAUCUAUAGCAAAGCUACAGCCAACAUAAUACUGAGCAGGGAAAAGUUGAAAGCAUUCUGCACAAGAGCUGGAACACGAUAAGGAUACCCACUCUCACCACUUCUAUUCAACAUAAUACUGGAAGUCCCAGCCAGCGCAAUCAGACAAGAGAAAGAAAUAAAGGGCAUCCCAAUCAGUAAACAGAAGUCAAACUGUCACUGCUUGCUGAUGAUAGGAUUGUAUACUUAGAAAAUCCUAAAGACUCAUCCAAAAAGCUCCUAGAAUUGGUAAAUGAAUUCAGCAAAGUUGCAGGAUACAAAUUAAUGUACACAAAUCAGUAGCUCUGCUAUAUACACCGACAGUGACCAAGCUGAGAAUCAAAUCAAGAUCCCAACCACUUUCACAAAAGCUGCAAAAAAUAAUCAAAUACUUAGGAAUAUACCUAACCGAGGACAAGAAAGACCUCUAAAAAUGAAAUACAAAACGCUGCUGAAAGAAAUCAUAGAUGAUACAAACAAAUAGAAACACAUACUAUGCUCAUGGAUGAGUAGAAUCAAUAUUGUGAAAAUGACCAUACUGCCAAAAGCAAACUACAAAUUCAAUGCAAUUUCCAUCAAAAUUCCAACACCAUUCUUCACAGAACUAGAAAAGCCGUCCUAAAAUUCAUAUGGAACCAAAAAAAGAACCUGCAUAGCCAAAGCAAGACUAAGCAAAAAGAACAAAUCUGGAGGCAUCACACUACCCGAUUUCAAACUAUACUAUAAGGCCAUAGUCACCAAAACAGCAUGGUACUGGUAUAAAAAUAGGCACAUAGACCAAUGGAACAGAAUAGAGAACCCAGAAACACACCCAAAUACUUAGAUUUUUGACAAAACAAACAAAAACUUUUAUAAACUGGGGAAAGGACACCCUAUUUAACAAAUGGUGCUGGGAUAAUUGGCAAGCUACACACAGAAGAAUGAAACUGGAUCCUCAUCUUUCAGCUUAUACAAAAAUCAACUCAUGAUGGAUCAAAGACUUAAAUCUAAGACCUAAAACCAAAGAUUCUAGAAGAUAACGUUGAAAAAAACCCUUCUAGAUGUUGGCUUAGGCAAAGACUUCAUGACCAAGAACCCAAAAGCAAAUGCAACAAAAACAAAGAUAAAUAGAUGGGACUUAAUUUAAGUAAAAAGCUUCUGCACAGCAAAAGAAAUAAUCAGAAUUAACAGAAAAUCCACAGAGUGGGAGAAAAUCUUCACAACCUUACAUGAAACAAAGGACUAAUAUCUAGAAUCUACAAAGAACUCAAACAAAUUAGCAAGAAAAAACAAACAAUCCCAUCAAAAAGUGGGCUAAGGACACAAACAGACAACUCUCCAAAGAAGAUAUAUAAAUGGCCAACAAGCAUACGGAAAAAUGCUCAACAUCACUAAUUAUCAGGGAAAUGCAAAUCAAAACCACAAUGUGAUACCAUCUCACUCCUGUAAGAAUGGCCAUAAUCAAAAAAAUCAAAAAAUAAUAGAUGUUAGCAUGGAUGUAGUAUAAAGGGAACACUGUAACACUGCUGGUGGGAAUAUAAACUAGUACGACCACUAUGGAAAACUGUGUGGACAUUCCUUAAAGAACUAAAAGUAGAUCUACCAUUUGAUCCAGCAAUCCCACUACUAGGUAUCUACCCAGAGGAAAAGAAGUCAUUAUACAAAAAAGAUACUUGCACACCAUGUUUAUAGCAGCACAAUUUGCAAUUGCAAAAUUAUGGAAUCAGCCCAAAUGUAAAUGUUCAUCAAUCAAUGAGUGGAAAAGAAAAAUGUGGUGUAUAUAUACGAUGGAAUACUACUCAGCCAUAAAGAACAAUGAAAUAAUGACAUUUGCAGCAACCUGGGUGGAACUGGAGACUGUUAUUCUAAGUGAAGUAACCUGGGAAUGGAAAAUCAAACAUCGCAUGUUUGCACUCAUAAGUUGGAGCUAAGCUAUAAGGACACAAAGGCAUAAGAAUGAUAC
rnacentral:lncRNA from 1 species